rnacentral:rRNA from 1 species
UACGUAGGGGGCAAGCGUUGUCCGGAUUUAUUGGGCGUAAAGAGCGUGUAGGCGGCUUUACAGGUCCGUUGUGAAAACUCGAGGCUCAACCCUGGAAUGCCGGUGGAAACUGUCGGGCUGGAGUCCGGAAGAGGCGAGUGGAAUUCCUGGUGUAGCGGUGAAAUGCGCAGAUAUCAGGAGGAACACCAAUGGCGAAGGCAGCUCGCUGGGACGGUACUGACGCUGAGACGCGAAAGCGUGGGGAGCAAACAGG